rnacentral:rRNA from 1 species
CCUACGGGAGGCAGCAGUGGGGGAUAUUGCACAAUGGGGGAAACCCUGAUGCAGCGACGCCGCGUGAGUGAAGAAGUAUUUCGGUAUGUAAAGCUCUAUCAGCAGGGAAGAAAAUGACAGUACCUGACCAAGAAGCCCCGGCUAACUACGUGCCCGCAGCCGCGGUAAUACGUAGGGGGCAAGCGUUAUCCGGAUUUACUGGGUGUAAAGGGAGCGUAGACGGUGAUGUAAGUCUGGAGUGAAAGCCCGGGGCCCAACCCCGGGACUGCUUUGGAAACUGUGUAACUGGAGUGCAGGAGGGGCAGGCGGAAUUCCUGGUGUAGCGGUGAAAUGCGUAGAUAUCAGGAGGAACACCGGCGGCGAAGGCGGCCUGCUGGACUGAAACUGACGUUGAGGCUCGAAAGCGUGGGGAGCAAACAGGAUUAGAUACCCGUGUAGUC